rnacentral:rRNA from 1 species
UACGAAGGGUGCAACCGUUGCUCGGAAUUAUUGGGCGUAAAGCGCGCGUAGGCGGCUUGGCAAGUCGGAUGUGAAAUCCCUCGGCUCAACCAAGGAAGUGCAUCCGAAACUGCUGAGCUUGAGUACUUAAGAGGAUCGCGGAAUUCCCGGUGUAGAGGUGAAAUGCGCAGAUAUCAGGAGGAACACCAAUUGCGAAGGCAGCUCGCUGGGACGUUACUGACGCUGAUGCGCGAAAGCGUGGGGAGCAAACAGG